CUUCUGGGUCCUAGCGAUAAACCGAUUCCAUGGCAGGUACUCUACCUCUCAGAGCCCUAUGUCUACACUGCUAUUUCAUGCACCCAGGCUCUAAGACGCAUUUCCUCCAGGCAAAUAUUAAAUAUCUUCGCCUACUGUGUUAGAGAUCUCUUUCCAUUUUUUAUCUAACGUAAAAAAUGAAUAAAGAGACCGGUAAGGCUGGUGAGAAGAGGAAGAGGACUGCAGGAGUAGACAAAGAUCCGUCCACGUCGAAACAAAAACAACGGGAUAGCACCCCUGACAGAGUAUUGAAGUCUCGGGGUGAACUUCCACCAAAAGAGAAGCCAUCUACUUUCAAAAAACCCUUACAAGACUCAUGGCUUCAAGAAGGCCAAAAUUGAUACCUGUGAAAUAUUGCAAAGGCUUUUCUACCCAGGGCAACACUCGGGAAUAUUAAGCUCUGCACAGGUAACUGGCCCAGCAGACCUUGAUAGCACUGCCCAGAAAGACCACAGACUUGGUUCAGUGGUGAAGGUGCUCAGCCAAGUUUAUUGUCAACGAAGCAGUCACCAGAGUCUCAGGGGGGCAACACUGAGAUUGCUUAAUCAGGGCAAACUGCAAAGAUUGGAGUAGACAAUCCCCCAAACAGGUGGUUAUUCUAAUACUUAGAUUCACCAAGCCAACAACAAAACAACUUCUACAAUACCUUCCUGGUUACCCAGAAGCCAGAAAUACAGUUCUCUUAAAGCAACCCAGCCUUGGGCUCCUACCCAGACACCCAAGUCAAAUACAAUGAGGAUUACUGAAAAUCUUGUUCAUCAUAUAAAAAGUUCU